rnacentral:rRNA from 1 species
UACGGAGGGGGCUAGCGUUGUUCGGAAUUACUGGGCGUAAAGCGCACGUAGGCGGCUUUGUAAGUUAGAGGUGAAAGCCCAGGGCUCAACCCUGGAAUUGCCUUUAAGACUGCAUCGCUAGAAUUGUGGAGAGGUAAGUGGAAUUCCGAGUGUAGAGGUGAAAUUCGUAGAUAUUCGGAAGAACACCAGUGGCGAAGGCGACUUACUGGACACAUAUUGACGCUGAGGUGGCGAAAAGCGU